rnacentral:rRNA from 1 species
GUGAACGCUGGCGGUAGGCCUAACACAUGCACGUCGAACGGCAGCACCGUAAGAGCUUGCUCUUACGGGUGGCGAGUGGCGGACGGGUGAGGAAUACAUCGGAAUCUACUUUUUCGUGGGGGAUAACGUAGGGAAACUUACGCUAAUACCGCAUACGACCUACGGGUGAAAGCAGGGGAUCUUCGGACCUUGCGCGAUUGAAUGAGCCGAUGUCGGAUUAGCUAGUUGGCGGGGUAAAGGCCCACCAAGGCGACGAUCCGUAGCUGGUCUGAGAGGAUGAUCAGCCACACUGGAACUGAGACACGGUCCAGACUCCUACGGGAGGCAGCAGUGGGGAAUAUUGGACAAUGGGCGCAAGCCUGAUCCAGCCAUACCGCGUGGGUGAAGAAGGCCUUCGGGUUGUAAAGCCCUUUUGUUGGGAAAGAAAAGCAGCAGGUUAAUACCCCGCUGUUCUGACGGUACCCAAAGAAUAAGCACCGGCUAACUUCGU